CUGACCGCACGCCCCCGAAGGUGUGGGAGCCACUCGGUGCUCGCACAGUGCCGUCGCGCUGCCUUCAAGAGCCCUUUCCUGCUUUGUACGCCGCAGAGGUGUCAGGAACGCACGGAGAAGCAGGGAGGGAACGAAACGCACGAGAAACAGCAGCACACCCGUGCCACGGUUGACCAGUGCUUUCAUUGGCAGCGAAGCGCACCGGCCGUCUGUCGCAGCCAAGCUCGAAGUUGCUUGCACGCCAUCACGCGAAGGAAUUGCAGUGCCCCCUGUAUUCUCAUACACACAUACACACACACACACACACACACACACACCCGCAUAGACUCUUACGCGCAUUAUAGGGCGGUGCCGCCGGCGUCGCUCUCUUCAUCCGGCGAGUCGCACGCAUACCUCGAUGCAGCUCCGCUUGCAAGCGGCGUCGUUCACUUGAAUCGCGCUUUGCCGCGUCAUAUCUCCGCCCCCUAUUGCCUCGCGUCUCCCCGCCUCCUGCUGUGCAGUAUUGUUGCGGCUCCUCGUUGGCUCGCUCAUUGCAGCGUCUACGCAGCAGGCCGCGUGCGACCAUGUCAGACUCCGCCCAGCUGCCCGCUUCAUCCGAGGCGCCCCCGCUGAGUCCGCCGCCUCUGCCUGGUGUGCCGACGCAUUCUGUGUCACCGCUAGCAGCGCCGUCGCGAGGGGCGGAGGAUGCGCAAAACUCAUCGGCCGCUUCCCCGCUGAAACGCCCACGCGUCGCCGAGCCCAUUACUCACUUUCUCACCCCCAACGCUCUAGGUGGCCUCAGUCAGAGCUGCAACUUGGUUUCACCCUCCCCUGCGACUUUGACAGCGGAGCAAGCCCGCCAUGACGUCCAUGCCGAUACCGAGGCGGUUUCGCCGAAGCAAGCGAGGGUAGAAAGCAGGUCUGUCACCCCGCGGUCUCCCUACUCCAACCUGCCGCGCAAGAUCCCUCGCAAGACGCCCGUCUCCAGCCCCACCUCGUCCCUCACAAACUCCACGCUUGUCACGCCUCCGACUGCCGCCGCCGCAUCUCACGCAUGCACGUCGGCGCCUAGCGUAUCAACCGCGGCGAAGAGGAUCACGCUGCAUCAGCGGUGGGCGGCGUUACUGCAUGGCGUGUUCAUGAAGGAGCGGCCUUCGAGCGAGUCUGACCGGGUAAUGGAUCUGUGUGUGCGUAUCGUGGAGGCGAUUCCGGGCGAUAUGGAGCAGACGAAGGACACUUUUCAGACGCUGCUGUUCAACAUCAAGGACUCCAAGAACGGCGAGCUGCGACGGAAAGUGAUGGAGGGAGAGCUGCUGGUGGAGCGGCUCGUCACGAUGGACGACCUUGAGCUGGCCAAUCCGGAGCUGCGCAAGCAUAUCGAAGAGAAGAUCGAGGAGCGCUCCAAGGACACAAAUCUCAGCGAGAUUAGGAAGGCAAUGCGGACGAGCAACUCGACACUCUUCAAAUGCCGCGUCUGCGGCGCCCGAGACUCCUCCUGGGAGCAGCGGCAGACGCGCUCGGGCGAUGAGCCGAUGACGGUGAUCAUCACGUGCAACAAAUGCAACACGCAGUGGCGCAAGUACUAAGCUCAGGGAAAGAAUGGCGCCGAGCCGGCGCAGAUGGAGUGUGCCGAGGCGAUGACCCUCUCCGUAUGCUUCCCUCACGCUUUCUUUGAUUCUCUCACGUGGGCACUUGCUGGCCGCUGUGGAUAUCAAGCUAAUAACACCCGCCGCAGCGCUCAAGCACUAUCUCUGUGUGUGUGUGUGUGUGUGCGUGUGUGGGAAUGUGGUGUGCGCCGAGCUGCGGCGUUCGACGUGUGACCUCGCCAUGUUUAGCGUAACUCUCUACUUCGUUUCGACUGCCCUUACGUCGCUGUCAUCUGACUGCAUUGCUG
rnacentral:misc_RNA from 1 species